rnacentral:rRNA from 1 species
UGCCUACGGGGCGCAGCAGUGGGGAAUAUUGCACAAUGGGGGGAACCCUGAUGCAGCGACGCCGCGUGGGUGAAGAAGUAUUUCGGUAUGUAAAGCCCUAUCGGCAGGGAAGAAAUUGGACGGUACCUGACUAAGAAGCCCUGGCUAACUACGUGCCAGCAGCCGCGGUAAUACGUAGGGGGCAAGCGUUAUCCGGAUUCACUGGGUGGAAAGGGAGCGGAGACGGCCAUGCAAGCCUGGGGUGAAAGCCCGGGGCCCAACCCCGGGACGGCUCUGGGAACUGGGCGGCUGGAGGGGGGGAGGGG